rnacentral:rRNA from 1 species
GGAAAGGCGCGCGAUACAGGGUGACAGCCCCGUACACAAAAAUGCACAUGCUGUGAGCUCGAUGAGUAGGGCGGGACACGUGGUAUCCUGUCUGAAUAUGGGGGGACCAUCCUCCAAGGCUAAAUACUCCUGACUGACCGAUAGUGAACCAGUACCGUGAGGGAAAGGCGAAAAGAACCCCGGCGAGGGGAGUGAAAAAGAACCUGAAACCGUGUACGUACAAGCAGUGGGAGCACGCUUAGGCGUGUGACUGCGUACCUUUUGUAUAAUGGGUCAGCGACUUAUAUUCUGUAGCAAGGUUAACCGAAUAGGGGAGCCGAAGGGAAACCGAGUCUUAACUGGGCGUUAAGUUGCAGGGUAUAGACCCGAAACCCGGUGAUCUAGCCAUGGGCAGGUUGAAGGUUGGGUAACACUAACUGGAGGACCGAACCGACUAAUGUUGAAAAAUUAGCGGAUGACUUGUGGCUGGGGGUGAAAGGCCAAUCAAAC